rnacentral:rRNA from 1 species
UACAGAGGGGGCAAGCGUUGUUCGGAAUUACUGGGCGUAAAGGGCGCGUAGGCGGCCUUCUAAGUCGAACGUGAAAUCCCCGGGCUCAACCCGGGAACUGCGUCCGAUACUGGAAGGCUUGAAUCCGGGAGAGGGAUGUGGAAUUCCAGGUGUAGCGGUGAAAUGCGUAGAUAUCUGGAGGAACACCGGUGGCGAAGGCGACAUCCUGGACCGGUAUUGACG